rnacentral:rRNA from 1 species
AGCAGCCGCGGUAAUUCCAGCUCCAAUAGCGUAUAUUAAAGUUGUUGCAGUUAAAAAGCUCGUAGUUGAAUUUCGGGACCAUCAUAUCGGUCGUGCCUCGGUACGUACUGGUAUUGUUGGUUUCUCCCUUCUGACGAACCAUGAUGUCAUUUAUUUGGUGUUGUGGGGAAUCAGGACUGUUACUUUGAAAAAAUUAGAGUGUUUAAAGCAGGCUCACGCUUGAAUACAUUAGCAUGGAAUAAUGAAAUAGGACGUUUGAUUCUAUUUUGUUGGUUUCUAGGAUCGACGUAAUGAUUAAUAGGGAUAGUUGGGGGCAUUAGUAUUCAAUUGUCAGAGGUGAAAUUCUUGGAUUUAUUGAAGACUAACUACUGCGAAAGCAUUUGCCAAGGAUGUUUUCAUUAAUCAAGAACGAAAGUUAGGGGAUCGAAGACGAUCAGAUACCGUCGUAGUCUUAACCAUAAACUAUGCCGACUAGGGAUCGGAUGAUGUUAAUUUUUAAUGACUCAUUCGGCGCCUUAAC